UUUUUCUUAUCCUAAGAUCAGCCCCACUGUAUCCGUCCUCUCGCUACCGUUGAUUCGUCCACAAUUUCCACGACCCAAACCUCCCCUCUCCCGUCAAUCAUUGAAAAACAAAACCGGACGGUCGCUUUCUUCUUCUCCCUCCUUUCGCUCUUCUUUUCUUCAUCUAAUUUCAUAGCGGUUCUUUUCUUAUUCGCUAAAUGGAUCGAAGUCUUCAAGCAGUUAUUGCAGCAAUCUUAAGCUUCUUUUUAGUCUCUGUAGUCUUAGCUUUCCUCAUCUUAAUCUGCAAAUCAACUAAAAAGUCCACCCGCCCAAACCCUCCUCAAAUCCGGUCCUUAAACCGAACCCAACCCGCCCCUAAUCCUCCCGAUCUCACCACAUGCGACAGCGCCGCCUUCGACCCCUCUCUCAAACGUCUCGACAUGGCGGAACUCGCUGCCGCCACGAAGAACUUCUCCUCCGACCUCAUCAUUGGCGACGGCAGCUUCGGAAUAGUUUACAAAGCUACCCUCUCUUACGGUGUCACCGUCGCAAUUAAAAAGCUCGACCCAAAUGCCUUUCAGGGGCUCCGGGAGUUCCGAGCUGAGAUGGAAACCCUAGGCAAGCUGCGUCACGACAACAUCAUCAAGAUCCUCGGGUUCUGCUCUUCGGGUGUGGAUCGGGUUUUGAUAUAUGAAUUCAUUGAGAGAGGAAGCUUGGACCAAUGGUUGUACGAUGAGGAACAAGAAAACUCGGUUGGCCGUUUAACGUUAUCUUGGGAUACGAGGAAGAAGAUAGUGAAUGGGAUAGCUAAUGGUCUGGCAUAUUUACAUGGCCUUGAUACGCCCAUUAUCCACAGAGAUAUCAAGGCUAGCAAUGUCUUGCUGGAUAGCGAUUUUGAGCCCCAUAUCGCUGAUUUCGGACUCGCUCGGCAAGUCAAAGAGGCCCAUUCACACGUAUCCACACAAGUCGCCGGGACUAUGGGAUACAUGCCGCCCGAGUACCGUGAAGGAAACACUGCUGCGACAGUGAUGGCCGAUGUUUAUAGUUUCGGGAUAUUAAUGAUCGAGAUUGCCACCCAAAACCGACCCAAUUGGCCGGUGAGGUUCGAGGGGAAAGACGUGGGACUAGUGGAGUGGGCUAGAAAAAUGGUGGCCCAAAAUCGACAAAUCGAAAUGAUAUAUCAAAAGAUCCCAAAUAAAGAAUUAAUCGAGGAUGAGGUUAAGGAGUAUUUCCGAAUUGCAUGUAUGUGUACUAAUGAACUUUCCAAAGAAAGGCCUGUCAUGAGCCAAGUUGUUGAGCUGUUGAGUCGAAUUUCUUCGUGAACUUGCAAUGGGGAAAAUGAUGAUUGUCUUGGUAAUAUUUUUGCUAUCAUGAGAAAUAUUAGGUUCAGUUUGCCAUCUUUAUUUACUUUGCCGAUUAUUACCUUGCGGAACUCGUCAAGUCGGAUCGUCUCGAAGCUACACUAUCCUACCACCGAAUCGGUAGCUAUUUGCUCAUUUUGAGUCUAGGGUUGUGACCUGCCGCCAAUUGUGGUAGUAGUUUUAGUACAUUUUGGCAUUUAAGGGGAUUAUUUUUAGUCAUUUUAUAUUUAAUUAUUUCAUUUUCACCUUUCGUAGUUUAGAUUUAAUUAUUUGCAAAAUAAGCUAUUUUACGCAAUAAUUUAUGCCAGUUUACCUAUUAUGCCAAUACGGGCAUUAGGUAGUUUUAAUCUGCUUAAUGGAGGGUGCAGGAUGAGUAGUUAUAAGCCUAAUAGCCUUAUGGACGACUUCCGAGUGUAGCAUAAGUUUCCCGAGUCGCAGCACGUGAAAAUGGACUUCAAAGCUUGAAUUCAAGGUGUCGUGUCACAACAUACCCUUGGCUAUGCCGCGAAACAAGGCUAGACGUGGGGAGCAAAAAUCGACAAGGCUAAAAUCAUCCACACAAUCAAUAUUUUCUGAGUUUAUGGCCUAUAAUAAACCUAAUUAAGGUUUCUAAACAUCUCUAUAAAUAGGAAGGUUAUUGCUAACUCGUAAGCAAGUAUUUAGGAGUCGUAGUUAGUAGAUUUAUGUUUUAAUUAGUUUUAUUUUCUGUUUCUUAAUACUUUGCUAUUUUUGACUAGGUUCAACUUGAACCUAAGUCCCUUUUAUUAAAGUAUUCAAUACUUUUUGUAGCA